GCUCCUGUGGCAGAGAGGUUACUGCGUCGAUCUUAUGAGUCGAAGGUCCAGGGAUCGAAACCCUGCGGGAGCA